rnacentral:rRNA from 1 species
GAUGAACGCUGGCGGCGUGCCUAAUACAUGCAAGUCGAGCGAAUGGAUUAAGAGCUUGCUCUUAUGAAGUUAGCGGCGGACGGGUGAGUAACACGUGGGUAACCUGCCCAUAAGACUGGGAUAACUCCGGGAAACCGGGACUAAUACCGGAUAACAUUUUGAACCGCAUGGUUCGAAAUUGAAAGGCGGCUUCGGCUGUCACUUAUGGAUGGACCCGCGUCGCAUUAGCUAGUUGGUGAGGUAACGGCUCACCAAGGCAACGAUGCGUAGCCGACCUGAGAGGGUGAUCGGCCACACUGGGACUGAGAAACGGCCCAGACUGCUACGGGAGGCAGCAGUAGGGAAUCUUCCGCAAUGGACGAAAGUCUGACGGAGCAACGCCGCGUGAGUGAUGAAGGCUUUCGGGUCGUAAAACUCUGUUGUUAGGGAAGAACAAGUGCUAGUUGAAUAAGCUGGCACCUUGACGGUACCUAACCAGAAAGCCACGGCUAACUACGUGCCAGCCGCCGCUGUAA